AAUAAAAUAAAAUACUAACAUUCAUAAUUUUUUGUGUUUUGUUUUGGAUCAAAAUACGUUGAUGUGUUGAUUCAUAUUUAUUUUGGAGUUUUUUUUGACAAAAAAUCUUAGAUUCAUACAUAAACCCAGAUACAUAGUUGUACAUGAGCGUACCAGUUGUACCUAAACGCUUAGAUCUAUUAUCUUAGAAACCGAAAGACAGCCGAACAAUUGUAUCUAAACCAAAAACCCAACAUAAUUAUAUCUAAAAAUUUAGCCACAAUUAUACCUAAAACCAAAAACACAAUACUAUCUAAAGACUCAAACACGAAGUCUUAUUGUUCUCGUUGUCAUUCUCCUUCUCAAUUUCUUUCUCCUUAGCUUUCUCCUUCUUCCCUUUUCUUCUAGUUUUUAUCAUUCAAAAGCAAUCUCAUAAUAUUUUGUUUUAAUGCAUUUCACAAACUAUCUCUAAGGAACAAAAUUCAAAUUCAUUCGAAUCCCAAUUGUAAUCCUAAAAACUAAGUCAUAACAGCUAUUACAAGAGGCUUUUAAGGGACAAUUUCGAUUUUAAAUCGAUAAUUAACUCAAAUUUGAAUCUAUAUAUACAUUUUUGCAGCAAUUUUGUGAAAUAAAUGUUAUAGUUGGAACUUAUUUACAAUGGCUGCCACUGGAUUUUAAUGUUUGUUUUUGAUAAUUAGAAAAAAAAUCUUCAAAUUAAAUAUUUGACUUUUAACAAUCUUCCCUAAAUCUCUCCACAUUAACUACACGAUUAGUUACUGAAAUAAAACUUCCAAAAUAUUUAAUAUCAUUUAUUUACUACAAAAUUAUCAUUUUU
rnacentral:sRNA from 1 species